rnacentral:rRNA from 1 species
AUUGAACGCUGGCGGCAUGCCUUACACAUGCAAGUCGAACGGCAGCACGGGUGCUUGCAUCUGGUGGCGAGUGGCGAACGGGUGAGUAAUACAUCGGAACAUGUCCUGUAGUGGGGGAUAGCCCGGCGAAAGCCGGAUUAAUACCGCAUACGAUCUACGGAUGAAAGCGGGGGACCUUCGGGCCUCGCGCUAUAGGGUUGGCCGAUAGCUGAUUAGCUAGUUGGUGGGGUAAAGGCCUACCAAGGCGACGAUCAGUAGCUGGUCUGAGAGGACGACCAGCCACACUGGGACUGAGACACGGCCCAGACUCCUACGGGAGGCAGCAGUGGGGAAUUUUGGACAAUGGGCGAAAGCCUGAUCCAGCAAUGCCGCGUGUGUGAAGAAGGCCUUCGGGUUGUAAAGCACUUUUGUCCGGAAAGAAAUCCUUGGCUCUAAUACAGUCGGGGGAUGACGGUACCGGAAGAAUAAGCACCGGCUAACUACGUG